rnacentral:rRNA from 1 species
UACGUAGGAUGCAAGCGUUGUCCGGAAUUAUUGGGCGUAAAGAGCGAGCAGGCGGUUUGGAAAGUUGGACGUGAAAUUUUAGGGCUUAACCCUAAAGGGUCGUCCAAAACUCCCAGACUAGAGUGCAGGAGAGGAAAGCGGAAUUCCCGGUGUAGUGGUGAAAUGCGUAGAUAUCGGGAGGAACACCAGAGGCGAAGGCGGCUUUCUGGCCUGUUCUUGACGCUGAGGCGCGAAAGCUAGGGGAGCAAACGGG